rnacentral:lncRNA from 1 species
CCAAAAUAAGCUCUGAUGUAUGUUGGAUUUUAUAUGUCACCAUAACAAAAUUACCAAAAAGGGAGGACCUGUAUGUACCAACUGGCAUAUUAUAAUUUUUUCAAAAUUACAAUCUAUCUGCCCUAACCAAUAAUUCGCAACCGCGCAUACAUAAAUUAAUAACGAAAUCGAACCAAUUUUAAUCAAACUACCUACUUAAAUAUUAUAAAAGCUCACCGAAAGGGGCGUGAGCUAAUUCUUUUAAAAUGAACACUUUUUACGGUUAAUCGUAUAUACCUAUCUACCUACCUAUAUGCCGCAAUUGAGCACGGUUGCAAAAUGAAAAUUGCGAAAAUCUCCGCAUAUUGGAUGCUUGGAAAUAUCUUCGAUACGUUCAGUUAUCAUGGUGUCGAAAUGCCAAUCGAUUUAUGGUUAUGUUUGAAGUUAAACUUAUUUAACUUUACAUACUGCAUGCCUUUGUUCUUCUAUUCCAACUAUUCGGGAUUCAUUUACUGGCAAUGGCGUCGUUCUAAAUAAAAAAUCCAAAUUUAAAUUGGUCGCGUGUCUGCCCAUUAUAAGUUAAUUCCUCAGUCAUGUUAAAGGUAAUGAACAUACGCGACUAUUAUUGUAUUACAAUAAAUACAUGUGUUAUGUAACGAGGCAUUCAACUAUCACUGUUUGUUUUAAUUAUUAUUCAUAUACAUGGUAGUAUAGUAAUUUGUUUUUGAUAUGAGUGCAACAAAGAUGGGCAUUAUUCAAAUAUGAGAGAACUGUCACUAAUGUCAGGUUUAAACGUCAAAAUAAUGGUAUUUCCAAACGGGUUUAUAGGUUAUAUAAAAAGUGAUACACAUGGUAUAAAAGGUAUAAAACACAUAGUAGUGUAGGUUUGUAAAUCGAUUUUAUACUUAUAACUUUUUCAUGCAUUAUAUUCGAAGUAACUAUAGUGAUGUAUACCUUGGCGGCCAUAUUGGAUAAUUUAUAUUAGUAACUAUGGCAACGUAAAAAGUGCCUCAAGCAAGAAAAUUGCUACUGUGCAUUUUAGUCAGAUUUUUAACCCUAUGUGGCAACAUUUGCUAAGGUGCAUUAUUACACGUAAUUUAUGAAAUAUAUACUCAAACAUCGUGACUAGUGAUUACGUAACCGUAAAAAAGGUUAUAGACACCAUCGCUUGAGAAAAUUAGCCUUGAUUUGAGAGUUGAUAAUUGCCUAAAUAAAUAUAAUCUUAGUACCCCCGCUUACUUUUUCGUAAGACGCGUUUUGGCGUUAACAUUUCAAAAUUUUAAUAUCAAAUUUUAAUUAACCGAAUGUACUUGAGGGGAACUAAUGCUACUAUACGUCAUAUACGGUGCGGUUUAUUAUUGCAAAACUGCUUUGUUCAAGGUUUUUCGUAUUUAAAGGAAAGGAAGAGAGCCAUCUAGAAUUUCAAAAUAUUUGAAUAAUAAAACGCUUAUAUAUCAAGUAGGCCGAAAGCGUUCCAUUGGUUGCCAUGCGACUAUGUUUAACUGUCAACUUAAUGGUACGUAAACUUCAGAAUUUAAAUGAUUUUUUAAGGCACACAACAAAGAGAACGCAUGUUUCAUAUAUGGCAAAAAGAAAUCCAAAAUGGCCGCCAUGAUGCAAUCGGUGACGCGAUCAAUGGACGCUGUAAAUAAUACGAUAAGCGACAAAUUUUUAAACAUUUUUUUUUGGUAAAACACCGUUUAUUUGUCUUCAUGAGGAUGAUCUACGAUCUGAUGAUUACCUUUGUAACAUAUUUUAAUAAAUUGAGAGCAGUUUUA